GAGAACGUUCUGAAAAAAAUCUGAUUAAAAUUUUUUGCCAUAUCGCCCAGCCCUAAUAUAUAUGUGAUUUAGAAUGUGAUUUAGACAACGAAAUGCUCACUACUACACUAACAUGUUUUCACACUUGUAUAAAGACUAUACUUUGGUGGCAAAAAGUUUUUUUUUCUUUGGUCAUGUCAAUUGUUGCAAGAAUGCUUCUGCAUCCAUUUAUUCAUCCAUGCAUUCAUCCCUCUCUUUCUCUCUCUCUUUAGUGCCCUUCAUAGUCUGACCUCCAGAUGGAGUCACCACAGGGGUGGGAGGGUGAUGGAGAGAAAAUGAAAGAGUGCAGGGGGCUGCUGGGAUGAGAUGAGCGUGAGCUCUCUUCGUGACUGGGACACAAUGACAUCACAUGAAGUGGCUUUAUGUUUACUGUGAGGUGCUAAUGAAAAGAGCACAGCGGUGUUAAUUUACCAGCACACGACUCACAGACAGUUAGUCAGACUGAGAGAGAGAGUGAGAUUACAACAUGGCCACCAAAAACAGAUAUGACAGUCUCGCACAAAGCGUCACAUAAUUUGAAUAUUUUUAGACCCACCCUGCUCCCCAAGGCCCAGUAAGGAGGAUACACCAUAGAGGACCUCAGUAGCUCCCCUCGUUUCCCCAAGCCCCUGAAAAUGUCCCUGGGUGACACAUGACACAUUUUUGUGAACAUCCUACGAAAGGAGAUUACUGAUGACUGGGGCAUGGUUGACAUGGUUUUUAAAAGCUGAACUUCUUUUAACUUGUGCUGUAUUGUUACACAAAAGACGCAUUCAUAGUGCAUGUUCACAGAGAAAAAAACGGUCCAAUAUGGAAAAACAGCAUAUUGGAAUGCAAAAACAUGUUUAUAAAUCCAUCAUGAAGUGGAUCUUAAAGGGGUCAUCGGAUGCCCAGUUGAUAUGAUUCUUUAGGGUGUUAAUGAAAAGUCUCUAAUAUACUUUGGUUAAAAAUUCUUAAUGGUUUUGUAAAACAACACCCUUUUUACCUUGUCAAAAUGAGCUCUGCAAAAAUCAUCCCAAUCUGAGGGAUUGUUCCUUUAAAUGCAAAUGAGCUCUGCUCGCCCCGCCCCCU